rnacentral:tRNA from 1 species
GGGCCGUUAGCUCAUUUGGUAGAGCGCUUCCAUGGCAUGGAAGAGGUGGCGGGUUCGACCCCCGCACGGUCCACCA